AGUGAACGCUGGCGGUAGGCCUAACACAUGCAAGUCGAACGGCAGCACAGUAAGAGCUUGCUCUUACGGGUGGCGAGUGGUGGACGGGUGAGGAAUACAUCGGCAUCUACUUUUUCGUGGGGGAUAACGUAGGGAAACUGACGCUAAUACCGCAUACGACCUACGGGUGAAAGCAGGGGAUCUUCGGACCUUGCGCGAUUGAAUGAGCCGAUGUCGGAUUAGCUAGUUGGCGAGGUAAAGGCCCACCAAGGCGACGAUCCGUAGCUGGUCUGAGAGGAUGAUCAGCCACACUGGAACUGAGACACGGUCCAGACUCCUACGGGAGGCAGCAGUGGGGAAUAUUGGACAAUGGGCGCAGGCCUGAUCCAGCAAUACCGCGUGAGUGAAGAAGGCCUUCGGGUUGUAAAGCCCUUUUGUUGGGAAAGAAAAGCAGCAGGUUAAUCCCCCGCUGUUCUGACGGUACCCAAAGAAUAAGCACCGGCUAACUUCGUG
rnacentral:rRNA from 1 species